rnacentral:rRNA from 1 species
GACGAACGCUGGCGGCGUGCUUAACACAUGCAAGUCGAACGCUGAAGCUCAGCUUUUGUUGGGUGGAUGAGUGGCGAACGGGUGAGUAACACGUGAGUAACCUGCCUCCUUCUUUGGGAUAACGCCCGGAAACGGGUGCUAAUACUGGAUAUUCACUGGUCUUCGCAUGGGGGUUGGUGGAAAGGGUUUUUCUGGUGGGGGAUGGGCUCGCGGCCUAUCAGCUUGUUGGUGGGGUGAUGGCCUACCAAGGCUUUGACGGGUAGCCGGCCUGAGAGGGUGACCGGUAACAUGGGGACUGAGAUACGGCCAAGACUCCUACGGGAGGCAGCAGUGGGGAAUAUUGCACAAUGGGCGCAAGCCUGAUGCAGCGACGCCGCGUGAGGGAUGGAGGCCUUCGGGUUGUGAACCUCUUUCGCUCAUGGUCAAGCCGCAACAAUGGUUGUGGUGAGGGUAGUGGGUAAAGAAGCGCCGGCUAACUACGUG